rnacentral:rRNA from 1 species
UACAGAGGGUGCAAGCGUUAAUCGGAAUUACUGGGCGUAAAGCGCACGUAGGCGGAUUGUUAAGUCGGGGGUGAAAUCCUGGAGCUCAACUCCAGAACUGCCUCCGGAACUGGCGAUCUUGAGUUCGGGAGAGGUGAGUGGAACUGCGAGUGUAGAGGUGAAAUUCGUAGAUAUUCGGAGGAACACCAGUGGCGAAGGCGGCUCACUGGCUCGGUACUGACGCUGAGGUGCGAAAGCGUGGGGAGCAAACAGG